UUAGUUCUAACGUGUCAGCUGCUUUUGGCGCCAAAAAGUUGACGCUGUCAUCAGACAACCAAGGGAGACGUUGAAUGAAAGAUUCUUUGAAGAUGACACUGGUUAGAUCUCCUCCAAGGUUGAACUUAUUUUUCAAAGCUGAGUUGACAGAGGAGGUGAAUAGAGAUUACAUUGGAUAACCAGUCACACGAGAUUGAAGGGUAACUUUUUUGCAGUGGUGCUUGAAUUCUAGGAGUGUCGCUGCGUCACUGCUGAAUACAUUGUAGGGGCAACACUGGAAUUACAGAACUGGCACCAACCCUGGAGUUUCUGGAGGUGUUUCUAUUCCAUCAACCCAGCGAAUAGAUCUACAGUGGAGGAGACAAACACAUCUGUCUUCAUAUGUACCCCAGAGUUCUCACCCCAAUUCUGAUGUCAUGAUGUCUGAUUAUUGACUAAGCUCAGUAAGAUUUUACUUUGAGGUCUUUAUCUGUUUAGUUCUUCAAGGUAAAGAGUUUAAGAUAUAUUUUUGUUUACAUUCUAUUGUUACUGAGUGCUUUUUGCCAAUGCCAGU